rnacentral:rRNA from 1 species
AGGAAGCACCGGCUAACUCCGUGCCAGCAGCCGCGGUAAUACGGGGGGUGCAAGCGUUAUUCGGAAUUAUUGGGCGUAAAGGGCGCGUAGGCGGUUUUUUAAGUCAGACGUGAAAGCCCCGGGCUUAACCCGGGAAGUGCAUUUGAAACUAUAGAACUUGAGUACGGUAGAGGAAAGCGGAAUUCCUGGUGUAGAGGUGAAAUUCGUAGAUAUCAGGAGGAACACCGGUGGCGAAGGCGGCUUUCUGGACCUGUACUGACGCUGAUGUGCGAAGGCGUGGGUAGCGAACAGGAUUAGAUACCCUGGUAGUCCACGCAGUAAACGUUGUACACUUGGUGUUGCGGGUAUUGACCCCUGCAGUGCCGAAGCAAACGCG